CGAGAGCUUGCUCUUGUUCGGUCAGCGGCGGACGGGUGAGUAACACGUGGGCAACCUGCCCGCAAGACCGGGAUAACUCCGGGAAACCGGAGCUAAUACCGGAUAACACCAAAGACCGCAUGGUCUUUGGUUGAAAGGCGGCUUCGGCUGCCACUUGCGGAUGGGCCCGCGGCGCAUUAGCUAGUUGGUGAGGUAACGGCUCACCAAGGCGACGAUGCGUAGCCGGCCUGAGAGGGUGACCGGCCACACUGGGACUGAGACACGGCCCAGACUCCUACGGGAGGCAGCAGUAGGGAAUCUUCCGCAAUGGACGAAAGUCUGACGGAGCGACGCCGCGUGAGCGAAGAAGGCCUUCGGGUCGUAAAGCUCUGUUGUGAGGGACGAAGGAGCGCCGUUUGAAUAAGGCGGCGCGGUGACGGUACCUCACGAGAAAGCCCCGGCUAACUACGUGCCAGCAGCCGCGGUAAUACGUAGGGGGCGAGCGUUGUCCGGAAUUAUUGGGCGUAAAGCGCGCGCAGGCGGUCCUUUAAGUCUGAUGUGAAAGCCCACGGCUCAACCGUGGAGGGUCAUUGGAAACUGGGGGACUUGAGUGCAGGAGAGGAGAGCGGAAUUCCACGUGUAGCGGUGAAAUGCGUAGAGAUGUGGAGGAACACCAGUGGCGAAGGCGGCUCUCUGGCCUGUAACUGACGCUGAGGCGCGAAAGCGUGCGGAGCAAACAGGAUUAGAUACCCUGGUAGUCCA
rnacentral:rRNA from 1 species